rnacentral:rRNA from 1 species
AUAGAGACUCAGAGCUGCAUAUCAAUAAGCGGAGGAAAAGAAACUAACUAAGGAUUCCCUCAGUAACGGCGAGUGAAGCUGGAAGAGCUCAAAUUUGAAAUCUUCAAGGUUCUACCUUGACGAAUUGUAGCUUAUAGAAGUGUUUUCUGUAGUGGAGUUUGGUAAAAGUUCUUUGGAAUAGGACAUCAUAGAGGGUGAGAAUCCCGUAUUUGACCGUUACUUUCCUAGCUUUGUGAUACACUUUCAAAGAGUCGGAUUGUUUGGGAAUGCAGUCCAAAAUGGGUGGUAAAUUUCAUCUAAAGCUAAAUAUUGGCGAGAGACCGAUAGCGAACAAGUACCGUGAGGGAAAGAUGAAAAGAACUUUGAAAAGAGAGUUAAACAGUACGUGAAAUUGUCAAAAGGGAAGCGUUUGACACCAGUGUUGUUUAGUUGAAAAUCAAUUCAAAUAGAUUUGGAUUUUGAGUAGUAUUGACUUCAUCAGCUUUCUGCAUCUCUUUUCUUAUAUUAUUUAAUGCACUUUUCAGUUAACAAGUCAACAUCAAUUUCUUUUGUUGUAAAAGGGUAAUAGGAAGGUGGCUUACGUUUCGGCGUAAGUGUUUAUAGCCUUUUACCUCUGCAAUCGGAGAGAUUGAGGACAGCAGCGUAGACUCCUUCUGGGGUUAGAUACACUUGUGCUAAGCUAUAGCCUUGUAUAGACAACUUGUUGACUAUGCUCAGUCAUGUAGCUUACUCGCUUGUGCUAUUUUACCUACGCUUAGGAUGUUGAUAGUCACAGCGUGUAC